GACGGAGGAUGCAAGUGUUAUCCGGAAUCACUGGGCGUAAAGCGUCUGUAGGUGGUCAAAUAAGUCAACUGUUAAAUCUUGAGGCUCAACCUCAAAAUCGCAGUCGAAACUAUUAGACUAGAGUAUAGUAGGGGUAAAGGGAAUUUCCAGUGGAGCGGUGAAAUGCGUAGAGAUUGGAAAGAACACCGAUGGCGAAGGCACUUUACUGGGCUAUUACUAACACUCAGAGACGAAAGCUCGGGUAGCAAAUGGG
rnacentral:rRNA from 1 species